rnacentral:misc_RNA from 1 species
GAUGAAGAACGUAGCGAAAUGCGAUAAGUAAUGUGAAUUGCAGAAUUCAGUGAAUCAUCGAAUCUUUGAACGCACAUUGCGCCCAUUAGUAUUCUAGUGGGCAUGCCUGUUGGAGCGUCAUUUCAACCCUCAAGCCUUAGUUGCUUGGUGUUGGGAGCUUAUCUUGCCGAAAGGCGGGACAACUCCUUAAAUUUAUCGGCGGAGUCGCGGUGACCCCAAGCGUAGUAAAUUAUUUUUUCCUCGCUUUAGGUGUUAACGCUGGCUUUUCUAGCCGUUAAACCCCCCCUAAUAUUUUAAUGGUUGACCUCGGAUCAGGUAGGACUACCCGCUGAACUUAAGCAUAUCAAUAAGCGGAGGA